rnacentral:rRNA from 1 species
UGAGGGUCCAGCCGUUAAUCGGAUUCUGGGCGUAAAGCGAGCGUAGGUGGCUUGAUAAGUAGAUGUGAAAUCCCCGGGCUUAACCUGGGAACUGCAUCUGAAACUGUUAGGCUAGAGUAGGUGAGAGGAAGGUAGAAUUCCAGGUGUAGCGGUGAAAUGCGUAGAGAUCUGGAGGAAUACCGAUGGCGAAGGCAGCCUUCUGGCAUCAUACUGACACUGAGGCUCGAAAGCGUGGGUAGCAAACAGGAUUAGAUACCCUGGUAGUCCACGCCGUAAACGAUGUCUACUAGUCGUUGGGUCCCUUGAGGACUUAGUGACGCAGCUAACGCAAUAAGUAGACCGCCUGGGGAGUACGGCCGCAAGGUUAAAA